AACUUUCCUGAUGUGUUCGAGUCCUGCUAACUGAGCUAACAGCUACUGCAGUUCUGUGGAGCGUGUUUUGACUGUUUUACAGCUUUUAAGAAGCUAAACACAGUUAGCAUCGCUGCUAGUGCGGAGCUACCGGUGCUAUCAUCCGGCUCCGAGGGACACCUCCAGAUGUUCUUCUUCGUGGGGGACACAACUUUCUGCUGUCCAGUGUCUGAGACCACGUGGGGACAAAGUGAAGAGACGUGGGUCGCAGUUUUGAAUCCCGUUAGGCAGAACUUGAGUUAACCACAGGAGGAGGCCUGAGCGCUGCCCUCGCUCACCAUUAUCCACUCUUCCUGAAGACCAGAGGUAAAGAUAGCUCGUCCCCCCGCCCCCCCCCCACACAUCCACAGUGAUCUGUCUGCCUGUGACCAGCGUCCACACAGAAACCUAAGUAGACUCAGUAUUUUCCACAAACAGCAGCUCAGCUGCCACCUCUGCUCUUACGUCCUUAUAUGGAGCUGAUCCUUCAUCCUGGAGUCAAACAACAACUGCACGCAUGGCUGCUUGUUAACUCUGCAGGUCUCUGCUUUGUCCUGCUCACUCUUUGUGAAACUAAAACUCAAGUAUCUGCUUUUAGAGAAGUUACGUCAUGGUUCCUGCAUUCACCCUCAACCUGGUCUCUGCCGCUUCUAACAGAGACAUGAUAGAAUUGACUGAAGAGACAAAAUCCCUGACAUUUAUCAUGCAUUCGUAGAUAUGAUGCAUAUAAUGUUGCCAUUGGAGGGGAUACAUGCAUUUGUGCAAACAAGACACUGAAAAACUAUAAAGUUGUCACAAAUAUGGGAGUUAUUUGUUAGUUUUAGAACUGUUCAAAUGUUUCAAGCUGGACAUUAUCUGUAAUCGAUCCCUUAUAAUUAACAUGAGUUAAACAAAGCCAGACUUCAUGUCGCCCGAUUUGUAUCCGUCAACAAAUAAAUCGGUUUUCUAUUAAAUAAGUAUCAUGAUUUCUCAACUGGUGGAGGCUGAGCUCACAGUGGACACAUGCAUCAACGAGUAAAAAAUAUCAACUGGGGCUUUAAACUCUUAAGAAAUAAGAGGUUUUACAACAAACACAUAGAAUCAACUCAACUCAAGAAAAACUACAUUGGAAUGAAGAGUUUAAAGAAUUGCACCAGCGCAUAGAUUCACAGUUCACAGAGUAAAACAAAGACUCUGGAGAGGCUGCAAACAGCAACUGACUGAAAUUCAAUACUCAUUUUCUCACUACCCACUGAGAGUGAGCCGGCAGUCCACAACAGAUGGGAACCAUUGACUUAUGAAGCAAACUGACAUCUUACAUUUGUCAUUAAAUAUCAUUUGAAUGGCUAGAAUGAGAAAUUACGUAAAACUAUAAUGUGCCAAACAAUAUUUUAAGAUGACAUCUGAAGGUCCCGAACAGAUCUUGUCAGUACAGGUGAUUAUGCGAUUUGUAUUUUAACUGAACUUAAUCAAGGCUGAAUAUCUUAACUCGGUGUGAGAGGAAAGUAAAUCCUCUAAAUGUUGAUGUACAGUUUAAAACGCAUCGCUGCAGAAUCGUCUGACCUUGACUGAAGCUUCUGGUUUCUUUUGAGCUGGGUGAGAUCUUAGAUGUGAUCACUGUGGCUUUGUGGGAGCAGAACCAGAUGCACACAGAA